UACGUAGGGUCCGAGCGUUGUCCGGAAUUAUUGGGCGUAAAGAGCUCGUAGGCGGUCCGUUAAGUCGGAAGUGAAAUCUCAAGGCUCAACCUUGAAAUCGCUUUCGAUACUGGCGGACUUGAGGCAGGUAGGGGAAGGUGGAAUUCCUGGUGUAGCGGUGAAAUGCGCAGAUAUCAGGAGGAACACCGGUGGCGAAGGCGGGACUCUGGGCCGAUACUGACGCUGAGGAGCGAAAGCGUGGGGAGCGAACAGG
rnacentral:rRNA from 1 species